CUAGAUAUAUAUAAACAUGACAGUCAAUUUUUUCGAGAGUUUGAUCCUGGCUCAGGAUGAACGCUGGCUGUGUGCCUAAUACAUGCAUGUCGAGCGAUGAUAGCAAUAUCAUAGCGGCGAAUGGGUGAGUAACACGUACUCAACGUACCUUUUAGAUUGGGAUAGCGGAUGGAAACAUCCGAUAAUACCGAAUACUUAUUAUUUUUGCAUGAAAGUAAUAUAAAAGGAAGCGUUUGCUUCGCUAAAAGAUCGGAGUGCGCAACAUUAGCUAGUUGGUGAGGUAACGGCCCACCAAGGCGAUGAUGUUUAGCGGGGUUGAGAGAUUGAUCCGCCACACUGGGACUGAGAUACGGCCCAGACUCCUACGGGAGGCAGCAGUAGGGAAUAUUCCACAAUGGACGAAAGUCUGAUGGAGCGACACAGCGUGCAGGAUGAAGGCCCUAUGGGUUGUAAACUGCUGUGGUUAGGGAAGAAAAAGUAGCAUAGGAAAUGAUGCUACCUUGACGGUACCUGAUUAGAAAGCAACGGCUAACUAUGUGCCAGCAGCCGCGGUAAUACAUAGGUUGCAAGCGUUAUCCGAAAUUAUUGGGCGUAAAGCGUCUGUAGGUUGUUUGUUAAGUCUGGCGUUAAAUUUUGGGGCUCAACCCCAAAACGCGUUGGAUACUGGCAGACUAGAGUUAUGUAGAGGUUAGCGGAAUUCCUUGUGAAGCGGUGAAAUGCGUAGAUAUAAGGAAGAACAUCAAUAUGGCGAAGGCAGCUAACUGGGCAUACACUGACACUGAGAGACGAAAGCGUGGGGAGCAAACAGGAUUAGAUACCCUGGUAGUCCACGCCCUAAACGAUGAUCAUUAGUUGAUGGGGAACUCAUCGACGCAGCUAACGCAUUAAAUGAUCCGCCUGAGUAGUACGUUCGCAAGAAUAAAACUUAAAGGAAUUGACGGGGAUCCGCACAAGCGGUGG
rnacentral:rRNA from 1 species